rnacentral:rRNA from 1 species
CCUACGGGUGGCAGCAGUCGAGAAUUUUUCUCAAUGGGCGCAAGCCUGAAGGAGCGACGCCGCGUGGGGGAUGAAGGGUUUCGAUCCGUAAACCCCUGUCAUUUGCGAACAAUGCUCAUCCAAUAACACUGGGUGAGUUGAUAGUAGCGGAAGAGGAAGGGACGGCUAACUCUGUGCCAGCAGCCGCGGUAAUACAGAGGUCCCGAGCGUUGUUCGGAUUCACUGGGCGUAAAGGGUGCGUAGGUGGUCAGGCAAGUCGGAUGUGAAAGCUCCGGGCUCAACCCGGAAAUGGCAUUGGAAACUGCCUGGCUGGAGGUUUGGAGGGGGGACUGGAAUUCUCGGUGUAGCAGUGAAAUGCGUAGAUAUCGAGAGGAACACCAGUGGCGAAGGCGAGUCCCUGGACAAAACCUGACACUGAGGCACGAAAGCCGGGGGAGCAA